GACUUCUGGUCUAAUGCGCCUGCCCGCGGUCGUAAGACAUGUGAGUGCCGGUGCGCGUUUACCAUCCUUCUAGAAAACGAGUCUUCCCUUUACUGGGCCGGACUCGGGAUCUAGAUCAUUUACUUUGAAAAUUAGAGUGUUCAGGGUAUAAUUGCUAUGAAUACAUUAGCAUGGAAUAAUAAUCUAGGACUUCGGUUCUAUUUUGUUGGUUUCUCUAGCUGUGAUUGAUAGGGAUAGUUGGGGGUGCUAGUAUUGGCCGGUCAGAGGUGAAAUUCUUGGAUUCGGUCAAGACUAACUUAUUCGAAAGCAUU
rnacentral:rRNA from 1 species